UGGAAACGAGAUCUUCAUCAUCAGCUU
rnacentral:piRNA from 1 species